CGGCGUGCCUAACACAUGCAAGUCGAACGGAGUUGAGGAGCUUGCUCCUAACUUAGUGGCGGACGGGUGAGUAACGCGUGGGUAACCUGCCUCUGAGAGGGGAAUAACGUUCUGAAAGAACGCUAAUACCGCAUGACACAUAUUUGCCGCAUGACAGAUAUGUCAAAGAUUUUAUCGCUCAGAGAUGGACUCGCGUCCGAUUAGUUAGUUGGUGAGGUAACGGCCCACCAAGACCGCGAUCGGUAGCCGGACUGAGAGGUUGAACGGCCACAUUGGGACUGAGACACGGCCCAGACUCCUACGGGAGGCAGCAGUGGGGGAUAUUGCGCAAUGGGGGCAAACCCCCUGACGCAGCAACGCCGCGUGAAGGUAUGAAGGUUUUCGGAUUGUAAACUCCUUUUCUCAGGGACGAAAUUUGACGGUACCUGAGGAAUAAGCUCCGGCUAACUACGUGCCAGCAGCGGC
rnacentral:rRNA from 1 species